rnacentral:rRNA from 1 species
GACGAACGCUGGCGGCGUGCCUAAUACAUGCAAGUUGAGCGCUGAAGGUUGGUACUUGUACCAACUGGAUGAGCAGCGAACGGGUGAGUAACGCGUGGGGAAUCUGCCUUUGAGCGGGGGACAACAUUUGGAAACGAAUGCUAAUACCGCAUAAAAACUUUAAACACAAGUUUUAAGUUUGAAAGAUGCAAUUGCAUCACUCAAAGAUGAUCCCGCGUUGUAUUAGCUAGUUGGUGAGGUAAAGGCUCACCAAGGCGAUGAUACAUAGCCGACCUGAGAGGGUGAUCGGCCACAUUGGGACUGAGACACGGCCCAAACUCCUACGGGAGGCAGCAGGAGGGAAUCUUCGGCAAUGGACGAAAGUCUGACCGAGCAACGCCGCGUGAGUGAAGAAGGGUUUCGGAUCGUAAAACUCGGUUGGUAGAGAAGAACGUUGGUGAGAGUGGAAAGCUCAUCAAGUGACGGUAACUACCCAGAAAGGGACGGCUAACUACGUG